CUACGGGGUGCACCAGUGGGGAAUAUUGGACAAUGGGGGAAACCCUGAUCCAGCAAUGCCGCGUGUGUGAAGAAGGCCUGCGGGUCGUAAAGCACUUUCGGUUGGGAGGACUGCUUCUAGCACUAAUAUUGUUGGAAGUUGACGUUACCUUCAGAAGAAGCACCGGCUAACUCCGUGCCAGCAGCCGCGGUAAUACGGAGGGUGAAAGCUUUAAUCGGAAGUACUGGGCGUAAAGCGCGCGUAGGCGGCUAGAUCAGUCGGGUGUGAAAGCCCCGGGCUUAACCUGGGAACUGCAUCCGAUACUGUCUAGCUUGAGUACAGGAGAGGAGAGUGGAAUUCCACAUGUAGCGGUGAAAUGCGUAGAUAUGUGGAGGAACACCAAUGGCGAAGGCAGCUCUCUGGCCUGAUACUGACGCUGAGGUGCGAAAGCGUGGGGAGCAAACAGGAUUAGAUACCCCAGUAGUC
rnacentral:rRNA from 1 species